rnacentral:misc_RNA from 1 species
GGUGGGAUUCGUACUGGCU